rnacentral:rRNA from 1 species
CUACGUGCCAGCAGCCGCGGUAAUACGUAGGUGGCAAGCGUUGUCCGGAAUUAUUGGGCGUAAAGCGCGCGCAGGCGGAUCAGUCAGUCUGUCUUAAAAGUUCGGGGCUUAACCCCGUGAUGGGAUGGAAACUGCUGAUCUAGAGUAUCGGAGAGGAAAGUGGAAUUCCUAGUGUAGCGGUGAAAUGCGUAGAUAUUAGGAAGAACACCAGUGGCGAAGGCGACUUUCUGGACGAAAACUGACGCUGAGGCGCGAAAGCUAGGGGAGCGAACGGGAUUAGAUACCCCGGUAGUCCUGGCCGUAAACGAUGGGUACUAGGUGUAGGAGGUAUCGACCCCUUCUGUGCCGGAGUUAACGCAAUAAGUACCCCGCCUGGGGAGUACGACCGCAAGGUUGAAACUCAAAGGAAUUGAUGGGGGCCCGCACAAGCGGUGGAGUAUGUGGUUUAAUUCGACGCAACGCGAAGAACCUUACCAGGUCUUGACAUUGAUGGACAGAACUAGAGAUAG